AAUGAACGCUGGCGGCGUGCUUAACACAUGCAAGUCGAACGCGAAAGUCCGCAAGGAUGAGUAAAGUGGCAAACGGGUGAGUAACACGUGGGUAAUCUGCCUUCCGAUGGGGAAUAACAGUUCGAAAGGGCUGCUAAUACCGCAUGACAAACCGCUAUCAAUUUAGACGGUUUCAAAGCAGCAAUGCGUCGGAAGAGGAGCCCGCGGCCCAUUAGCUAGUUGGCAGGGUAAUGGCCUACCAAGGCGACGAUGGGUAGCCGGCCUGAGAGGGUGUACGGCCACACUGGAACUGAGACACGGUCCAGACUCCUACGGGAGGCUG
rnacentral:rRNA from 1 species